GUUAUAUCCAAUUAUGGAACCGGAAGAAGGAGGGAGUCAUAGGAACCCCUGACCUGGAGCAAAGCCUGCAUCUCAGAGCGCCCAGAGCUGCUCCGUGAUGUGACGGAGGGGCUCCCACGGCACCUGCGAUUUCCUGUGCUCUUCUGUCGAUAGAGGAGGAAGGGAAGGAGAAAGAGAAAGAGAGAAACAUCAAUGUGUGGUUGCCUCUUGU